GAUGAACGCUGGCGGCGUGCCUAAUACAUGCAAGUCGAGCGAACGGACGAGAAGCUUGCUUCUCUGAUGUUAGCGGCGGACGGGUGAGUAACACGUGGAUAACCUACCUAUAAGACUGGGAUAACUUCGGGAAACCGGAGCUAAUACCGGAUAAUAUUUUGAACCGCAUGGUUCAAAAGUGAAAGACGGUCUUGCUGCCACUUAUAGAUGGAUCCGCGCUGCAUUAGCUAGUUGGUAAGGUAACGGCUUACCAAGGCAACGAUGGAUAGCCGACCUCAGAGGGUGAUCGGCCACCCUGGAAGUGAGACACGGCCCAGACACCUACAGGAGGCAGCAGUAGGGACUCUUCCGCAAUGGGCGAAAGCCUGAUGGUGCACCGUCGCGUGAGUGAUGAAGGUCUUCUGACCGGAAAACUAUGUUAUUAGGGAAGAACAUAUGUGUAAGUAACCGUGAACAUCUUGACGGUACCUAAUCAGAAAGCCCCGGCUAACUACGUG
rnacentral:rRNA from 1 species